UACGGGGGGUGCAAGCGUUGUCCGGAUUUACUGGGCGUAAAGGGCGCGUAGGCGGCUUUAUCAGUCGGACUUUUAAGAGCGGGGCUCAACCCCGUGGUGGGUUCGGGACGGUAGAGCUGGGGCGCGGUCGGAGGGGGAUGGAAUGCCGGGUGUAGUGGUGAAAUGCGUAGAUAUCCGGCGGAACACCGGGUGGUGAAGGCGAUUCCCUGGACCGAGGCCGACGCUGAGGCGCGAGAGCGUGGGGAGCGAACCGG
rnacentral:rRNA from 1 species